CAUCCAUUUCAAAGUAAGUUUUUAUUAAUUUUUGAUUAAAAAUAAUUAUUUAAUUUCAAACGUGAUGAUUUGAUUCCUUCAAUAUGAAACUCAAAUGUUUAUUUAUAUUUUCUAUAGCUUUUCAUCCGGAACCUAGUAACUACGGAUUAACCAUUCACAAAAACAGUUACAGCCCAUCAGCGUCUGACAAUCUACAAUUUGAUGAUGUUAAUUCUGUGACAAGUCAACAAUCAAAUGAUUACCGACCAACUACACCUAGAAACAGUCCUGCAUUGUCUGAUCACCCAAAUUUCUCCG